UAUCUCACUAAGCAAACAAGCAUAUCCUAGUGCUGUCUAGAGCCCUGGAAACCCUAAGGCAGCCCUCUGUCCACAAACUGGAGCCACUGUGUCCCAUAGGGCCCUCAUGCUCUACUUAUGUCUCCACUCUUGACCACCACAGUUCGGUGGGCUUCCGCUGUGGGCUCCUCCAGUCCACUGUGGGACUAGGCCAGAGUGAACUGUGUGGGGUCUGGUGUGUUUAAAUAUUUCCCUUACAGCUAGCUCCGUCUGUGAUGCUCACCUGUGACAUCCUUCUGUGACACCUACCUGUGAUGCCCACCCGUGACUCCCACCUGUGAUGCCCAUCUGUGUCUCCCACCUGUGAUGCCCACCUGUGACACCCUCCUGUGACACCCACUUGUAAUACCCACCUGUGACACCCAUCUGUGACACCCAUCUGUGACGCCCACCUGUGACGCCCACCUGUGACACCCACCUGUGACACCCACCUGUGAUGCCCACCUGUGACACCCAUCUGUGUUGCCCACCUGUGAUGCCCACCUGUGACACCCUGCCUGCCAACCUAUGCUCUGGGAAGCAGGAAAGCCCUUGACGUUCCAUCCAAUACCAGGUGCAUGGAGUCAGCUUACUACCUGUCACAAAAUUGCUACAAACACCAGCCCAGGUCCCUCUAGGCUUGUGUCAAGCCUCCUCCAGCCUCAAGUGCUCCCUGGAGAUGUCGAAGCUUGGCCAGUCCACCUCACAGGAUCCCUCAAGAUGAUGCCACACAAGGACCCGGAGGCUUCAGAAAAUAACAUAACAUUGCAGGGGUCUGAGAGUCAGCUCCAGGCAGGCUGUUGUGGUAAAUAUGGAGAGACCCAGCAGGAGCCCUGGGAUUCUGGGCCGCAUCCCAAGGAAGCUCACCUGAGAUGUUGGUGGUUAUCUCAGUGAGAGCCGCCUGGCCGAAGCCCUUGCUCGUCCGAGCACG